rfam:Schistosoma haematobium scaffold66_38, whole genome shotgun sequence.
AUCCAGCUGACGAGUCUUAAAUAGAACAAGACAUGCGUCCUGGAU